UCAUCAACUGACCUCAACAGGCAAAAAGACCGCACUAUCCAGGCUGCCUUGCCCUCUGGCUUCCAGUUGGCUGCCGCCAAUAGAAGACAUCAGCAGGAAACUGGAAAGUAGGAGGAAAGAGACACGGAUAUUAAACCAAGAUUCCACUAGCCCAUGCCUAAGCCUGCCUGGCCAAGAUUGUAACAGUGGCUGAAUUCCUUGACCCAAAGACCACAUCUCCUGAUGGAUAGGGUACCACAGUGGGCGCUGCGGAACCAGUUACACCAGCUCAGAGUGUCUGUAGUUAUCCAGGCAUGAAGGCAGAAUUUCCUCAAAAUGUAGAGGAAGAGAAGAUUGUGGUCCAGACUUCUGUCUUCCCAUAUAACGACUCUAGAAGAAAAAGAAAGCUUCUCUCUGAACAUCCAGAUAUAAAAUCUAUGAUAAGAACCUAAUCAGGAUCACCAUUAGGAGAUUACCUGAUCCUAAGUUAUUUGUUCACACUCUCUGAAUAGCAGGGCAGGAUAUUAUAAUUAUUAAAAUUAUAUCAGAGUUACAGAAA